UAGGGAAUCUUCCACAAUGGGCGCAAGCCUGAUGGAGCAACACCGCGUGAGUGAAGAAGGGUUCCGGCUCGUAAAACACUGUUGUAAGAGAAGAAUGACAUUGAGAGUAACUGUUCAAUGUGUGACGGUAUCUUACCAGAAAGGAACGGCUAAAUACGUGCCAG
rnacentral:rRNA from 1 species